GACGAACGCUGGCGGCGUGCUUAACACAUGCAAGUCGAGCGGUAAGGCCCUUUCGGGGGUACACGAGCGGCGAACGGGUGAGUAACACGUGGGCGACCUACCCUCAGCUUCGGGAUAAGCCUCGGGAAACUGGGUCUAAUACCGGAUAUGACCUUCCCUCGCAUGGGGGUUGGUGGAAAGUUUUUUCGGUCGUGGGGAGUGGGCCCGG
rnacentral:rRNA from 1 species